GCGAACGCUGGCGGCAGGCUUAACACAUGCAAGUCGCGCGGGCAUCCUUGUGGUGUCAGCGGCAGACGGGUGAGUAACGCGUGGGAACGUGCCCUUCGGUUCGGAAUAACUCAGGGAAACUUGAGCUAAUACCGGAUACGUGCGAGAGCAGAAAGGUUUAUCUGCCGAAGGAUCGGCCCGCGUCUGAUUAGCUAGUUGGUGAGGUUAUGGCUCACCAAGGCGACGAUCAGUAGCUGGUCUGAGAGGAUGAUCAGCCACACUGGGACUGAGACACGGCCCAGACUCCUACGGGAGGCAGCAGUGGGGAAUAUUGGACAAUGGGGGCAACCCUGAUCCAGCCAUGCCGCGUGAGUGAUGACGGCCUUAGGGUUGUAAAGCUCUUUUCUCCGGGACGAUAAUGACGGUACCGGAGGAAUAAGCCCCGGCUAACUUCGUG
rnacentral:rRNA from 1 species